rnacentral:rRNA from 1 species
UGGGGAAUAUUGGACAAUGGGCGAAAGCCUGAUCCAGCCAUGCCGCGUGUGUGAAGAAGGUCUUCGGAUUGUAAAGCACUUUAAGUUGGGAGGAAGGGCAUUAACCUAAUACGUUAGUGUUUUGACGUUACCGACAGAAUAAGCACCGGCUAACUCUGUGCCAGCAGCCGCGGUAAUACAGAGGGUGCAAGCGUUAAUCGGAAUUACUGGGCGUAAAGCGCGCGUAGGUGGUUUGUUAACUUGGAUGUGAAAUCCCCGGGCUCAACCUGGGAACUGCAUUCAAAACUGACUGACUAGAGUAUGGUAGAGGGUGGUGGAAUUUCCUGUGUGGCGGUGAAAUGCGUAGAUAUAGGAAGGAACAAC